ACGAAAGCAGGGGGCUCAGGUCCUAGUGGGGGCUUGGGCCAUGUGUCCUGGCCGUCUGCAAAGGCGCGCCCUUCCCGAGUCAAGUCCCCGAAGGGCAAGUCAUUCACUUCUCUGAACCCAGCACCUCACUCAUUCGAUGAAAGCAUCACAGCACCUUCGUCACAGGCCACAGAGCGGGCAGCCCAGGGCCAGCCCAGAGCCAGGAGUCAAUAAGGGUUGGCUGCUGUCAUUCCCAUUGCGAUUAUUUCCAUAGACAAGGUGUUGAUUUCCCUAGCCAUGAGCUCCAUCUGUGAGGGCGGGGCCCGGAUCCGACUUGGCUCCAUGAGCCCAUGCUUAAUUCAGGCCCCAAGCUGAUAUUCGACUAUGCAACAAAUAUUUAUUGAGCACCUACUGUAUGCCAGGCACUGAGCUAGGGGGACACAACAGUGAACGAAAGAGGCAAAAAUCCUUGCCUUCAAGUGGCUCACAUCGUCGUGAGGCUCUAAACGAGAACAAAUGCAUGAAAUCGGAGCGUGGACUCCAAGGUUGACGGCUGUGACCCUCCCUGUCCCCUGGGCCCCAGAUUAGGGGACCAUGAUACUUAGACGGAAUAUUUAACCCAAACACCCAGAGCUCUUCAAGGUCAGGCAAGAGGGAAUGUGGGCGGCCCCGCAGCCCAGUCUCCCCUCCCACAGAUCUCUCUGGGAGGGGUGUUCUGAGUGUCUGGACCUCGGGUGUUCUGAGUGUCUGGACCUCAGGUGAGAUCCUGGCCUCAGACCAUGCAGCAAUAGAGUGAUGUCUAGCAGCCAGGAGCACGGCUUCCAAGCUAUGUGACUCGGGUACAUAAUUUCAGCUUUGUGUGUCACUGUUUCCAAAUCUGCAAAGUGGGGAUAACAAUAAUUCCAUCAGGAAGAUUAAAUGAGUUAAGGCAGAUACAGUCCCCAAAACCAUGCCUGGUGCAAAGUGAAGGCUCGACAGAUAUUCACAAUUAUGGUAUGACGGAAGAUUCAAAGCUGCACUUAUCCUCAUGCCUAUAAAUCCAUAAUAUCCAAUUGUAUGAAAGUAUGAAGCGGCAACAAGAUCUGAACAACAUAAUGUCUGCAAGACCUAGCGACUCGGAAGCCCCAGGCAAACCUGCAUGGCUGCUGCAUCUCUGAGAGAGACCGUGCUUGGAAGGGACAUCUGUUUGGGGGAUGGAGGAGCCACUGACCCCUGUCCAAGAACUGCA